AGAGUUGACCGUGAAAUCCAUACAAAGAUAAAAC
rnacentral:rRNA from 12 species